rnacentral:rRNA from 1 species
GGUCCUACGGGGGGCAGCAGUAGGGAAUCUUCCACAAUGGACGAAAGUCUGAUGGAGCAACGCCGCGUGAGUGAAGAAGGGUUUCGGCUCGUGAAGCUCUGUUGGUAGGGGAGAAAGAUAGAGGUAGUAACUGGCCUUUAUUUGACGGUAAUUACUUAGAAAGUCACGGCUAACUACGUGCCAGCAGCCGCGGGAAUACGGAGGUGGCAAGCGUUGUCCGGAUUUAUUGGGCGGAAAGCGAGUGCAG